UCUGAUUGAUCCUGUCAGUAGUCAUAUGCUUGUCUCAAAGAUUAAGCCAUGCAUGUCUAAGUACACGCCUUUAUACGGCGAAACCGCGAAUGGCUCAUUAAAUCAGCUAUGGUUUAUUGGAUCUUUUCAAUUACUCGGAUAACUGCAGUAAUUCUGGAGCUAAUACGUGCAACUAAGCCCAGACCUUUACGGAAUGGGCGCAUUUAUUAGAUCAAAACCAACCACACUUCGGUGCGUCCUUGUUGAUGACUCUGGAUAACUUUGCUGAUCGCAUGGCCUUCGAGCCGGCGACGUAUCUUUCAAAUGUCUGCCCUAUCAACUUACGAUGGUAGGUGAUAUGCCUACCAUGGUUGUAACGGGUAACGGGGAAUCAGGGUUCGAUUCCGGAGAGGGAGCCUGAGAAACGGCUACCACAUCUAAGGAAGGCAGCAGGCGCGCAAAUUACCCACUCCCGGCACGGGGAGGUAGUGACGAAAAAUAACGAUACGGAACUCUUUUGAGGCUCCGUAAUUGGAAUGAGUACAAUUUAAAUCCUUUAACGAGGAUCCAUUGGAGGGCAAUUCUGGUGCCAGCAGCCGCGGUAAUUCCAGCUCCAAUAGCGUAUAUUAAAGUUGUUGCAGUUAAAAAGCUCGUAGUUGGAUCUGAGGACUAGAGAUAAUGGUGCGAUAACCUCGUUACUGUUAUUUCUGCCUAAAAAGACAGUGCCAGGCAUUGGUGCUCUUAAUUGAGUGCUUUUGCUGCCUGUCAAGUUUACUUUGAAAAAAUUAGAGUGCUCAAAGCAGGCGCUUUGCCUGAAUAGUGGUGCAUGGAAUAAUGGAAUAAGAUCUUCGGAUCUAUUUUGUUGGUUUUCGGAAGCCGAGGUAAUGAUUAAGAGAGACAGACGGGGGCAUUCGUAUUGUGGUGUUAGAGGUGAAAUUCUUGGAUCGCCGCAAGACGAACAACUGCGAAAGCAUUUGCCAAGCAUGUUUUCAUUAAUCUAGAACGAAAGUCAGAGGUUCGAAGACGAUCAGAUACCGUCCUAGUUCUGACCAUAAACGAUGCCAGCUGGCGAUCCGCGGUGGUUGUUAUUUUCGACCCCGCGGGCAGCCUCCGGGAAACCAAAGCCUUUGGGUUCCGGGGGAAGUAUGAUUGCAAAGUCGAAACUUAAAGGAAUUGACGGAAGGGCACCACCAGGAGUGGAGCCUGCGGCUUAAUUUGACCCAACACGGGAAAACUCACCCGGCCCGGACACUGUUAGGAUUGACAGAUUGAAAGCUCUUUCUCGAUUCGGUGGGUGGUGGUGCAUGGCCGUUCUUAGUUGGUGGAGCGAUUUGUCUGGUUAAUUCCGAUAACGAACGAGACUCUAGCCUGCUAAAUAGUCGGGUCGUAUAAUUUAGCGACUUUAUGACUUCUUAGAGGGACAA
rnacentral:rRNA from 1 species